CUUAGGAUCUCCAGAGUGCCAGAGCCUUGCUUGCCCAGUACCCAGAGACCCGUUUGUGUGAUACCAGACUAAACUUAUCACUGCUUUUCUUACCCACAGCAGGAAUGCGUCGGCUGGGCUCUGCCAUCAGCAGCAUCACCUUAAAUCACCUCCCUAACUUCUCACUCACCUUCUCCUGAUGCAUUUUCCUACUGUAGGCAGUGGUGGAAGCAAGGAGAAGGAGAAGCACAAACUUCUCCAAUCAGCUCUGGGUCUCAUCGGGAGCUGUUGUCACGGAAACGGAGAUCUGCAGAGCCCCGUGCGCUCGGCGUUAACCGCCUCGGUGCCGUGCUGAUGGCCAGGGCAGGAUGUGCUUCAAGGCUGGUGGUGAGUGAUCUGGAUCUGGAGCUCACAGCCUCUGCCUGGCUUUGCAGAGAACAACUGAGACCAGCAAAGCCAUUGAGGUGACAGGAGAUGGUGGCAUCCUGGAGGACACAGUGGAGACCAUCAGCUGCUUGUGCUACACAUUGUCACUGGGCAAAGGCAGAAAACUGCUGGACCAUCAAAAGCUUUCAACAAGUGAAGGGUCAAAGGCUUCAAGCCAAGGGGAGGAACUUCAUCUGCAGUUCCCAUGCUGGAGCAAACUGAGCAGAAAGGCAGAGACACAGGGGCAAGCCACAGCCCUCCCUACACACAGCUUGGUGCUGGGGUGCCAGAGCAGGGACCCCAGUUCUUGUCUUGCAGGGUGGUGGCUGUUGGUGCAGUAGUUUACAGUGGGAACAGCUCUGCUCCUGCCUGCAGCUUCCAGGCAUUGAGUUUUGUGUCCUAAUUUAACAUAUUUGUGACACUGAAGUAAUGGUAAGAUCCAUAACAGCCCAGCAUCACCUGGAACCAGUACACAGCUUGGCUGCUGUCACAUCCCUGCAGGAGGAGGCAGGCUGAUUCCAGCACAGGGAGCUGGGGUACCAGGAGGGUGGAGAAGGAAAUAGGGUGGCUGGGAAUGCUCUCAGGGAGAAGGGAGAAUGGCCACACAUGGAGGGGUGAGCCAGCACAAGCAGUGCAUCCGGAU